UUGAUGAUUGUGGGAGAGACCGAACAGCAUGUUCGGCACCGAAGGGGCAAGUCUCAAAAAGCCUUGGGACAGAAACUCUCAGGUAAAAAGACUGCAAUUGGACG
rnacentral:ncRNA from 1 species